rnacentral:rRNA from 1 species
CCAAUAUCUUCUGGUUAAAUUGACGGGUUAAGGCCAGAUUGGUAAGGCACUCUGUUUGGGACAGAGAGAUCCUAUGUUCGAUCCAUAGUAACCCGAGAUAUUUAAUUUAUGAUGUUUAAAUAGUAUUUACUAUAAAAACAUAAAACUUUAAGAAAUAUAAUUGAUACGAAAUAAAAAUUUAUACAUAUAUUUAUGUAAGUAUAUAAAGAGACUAUUAGGAAAUUUUAGCUAUGUAUUAAAGAGAAAUAUAUUUAACUCAAAAGUGUAGAUAAUUAACUCUAAGAUAAAUCAGAUAAUAAACGAAGUGAAUUGAAUUAUCUUAUUAGCUUCAGGAAAAGAAAUCAAAAGAGAUUCUAUGAUUAGCGUGAGCAAAAAUAGAAGAGUCUAAAUAAUAAGUAAAAUGGGAAUAAGCCUGUUUGAAUAUUUAUGGGGAACCUUCCUCAAAGACUAAAUAUAAUACAUAAGCGAUAGCAAAUUAGUACCGUGAGGGAAAUAUAAGUUGAAUUAGUAGUUUUAUAAGCAGCUCGAGUGUAAACAAGAGCGUACCUUUUGCAUAAUGGGUCACCAAGUUAAUUUUAGAUGUGAGCUAAUAAAUAAGGCGUAGUUAAACCGAUCAUCAUAAAAAUGAAUAAUAUCUAAAAUUAGACCCGAAGUACAGUGAUCUUACCAUGGUCAGGACUAUAAAGGUCCGAACGGGUUAUCGUUGCAAAGAUAUCCGAAGAAUUGUGGUAAGUAUAGUGAAAGACAAUUCUGACUGUAUUAGCUGGUUUUCUGCGAAACCUAUAAUAGUAGGCAAUUUAAGUAACAUCUUAGCAGGUACAGAACUUAAUCUCAGACAAGAUGUAAAAUAAAAUUACAUUUUAUUUUGUAUAGAUCGGGGAAUCAUGAAGAUUUUACCGGUGAGUUUGUGAACUCGGAAUGGCAAAGAUGAAUCUUAAAUUAUCAGACAUAGAAUGAUAAGGUUGUAUGUCAAAAGGGAAACAGCCCAGAACAAGAGUUAAGGUUCCAAAAUUAUUAUUAAGUGAAAUUAAGAAGGUUUAUAUAUAAGUCGACAAGGAGAUUGGCUUAGAAGCAGCCAUAAUUUAAAGAUCUCGUACCAGAGCACUUGUUAAUGUUAAAAGCGUCGAAAAUUUAACGGAUCUAAAUAAUAUACCGAAACCUUGUCAAUAAAUAAAAGUUACUAUAAUUCUUAUUUAUUGGGUAGCAGAACAUUGAGUUUAUAUUGGUAUUUUUUUUUAAUUAAAGAAAUGAUAUUAUAACUCAAGUGAGAAUGGUGACAUGAGUAACGAAAAAGAAAGUUAGCGUAAAUUAACAUUUACGUUUAAAUUUACCUUUAUGUACAUUUGUACAUUUACGUAAAUUAUUAACAUUCUCGCCUAAAGCUUAUGGUGAUUAUAAGUAACGGCCUCUAAGUUUAUAACCUUAAGGUUAAGACGAUGAGAAAAACUUAUUACUAAUAACAACGCCACUUUUUAAGUGAAAAGUGUACAGGAAAUAAUAGUAUAAAAUAACCGUUCCUAGGAACUACAAAAAGUAAGCUAGUAGAGAAUACGAAGGCGCAUGAGAUAACAAUCUUAAAGGAACUCGGCAAAAUGACUACCGUAACUUCGGGAUAAGGAGGGCUCAUUUAUCUUGAUUAAUAUCAAGUAUAAAGGAAGAAACAUAAAAUAGUGUUGUACGACUGUUUAAUUAAAACAAAGCACUUUGCAAAAGAUGAUAAAUCUAAGUAUUAAGUGUGAUAUCUGCCCGAUGCCGGCAGGUUAAUUAUAGAAACUACUAAAAGAAAUUUGGUUUUUAUAGGAAUCCCCGGUGAAUGGCGGUCUUAUUCUGAGGAUCCUAAGGUAGCGAAAUGCCUUGGCCGUUAAAUGCGGUCUUGCAUGAAUGAUGUAACGAUACAACAGCUGUCUCUAAGAUUGACUCAGUGAAAUUGGAAUAACUGUGCAGAUACAGUUUACCUCUAGGUAGACGAGAAGACCCUAUGCAGCUUUACUGUUGCUAAUUAUUGAAUAUAAUUCUAGCACUUUUUAGUUUAGAAGGUUUAUUGAUAAUUUAAAAGUGAAAGACCUUUAUUUGUGUGUUAUAUUAUAAACCUUAGAUAAAAGGAACAGUGAUUAGGAGACAGUUUAUGUGGGGCACAGACCCCUUAAAGAGUAAAAGGGUGUAUCUAAAUUUAUAACUUAUUAAGUUUAUUUUAUUUUUUAUUGUUUGUUAUUAUUUUAACUUUGUUAUAUUUAAUCCUUUGUUUGUGUAAGUAAAAUUACAUAUAAUUAGGUAAGAUUUUCCCUAUUGAGAAAUUAGUUGUAGUAAAAGAUAUUAUCAUUAAUAUCUUUAAUAGUUAUUAUAAUUUUAAUUAUUAAUAAUCAUGUUUAAUACUUGUCAAGCUAAAUGGCUAAAUCUUGCCUUACUGUUUGAUUCACAACAAAUCUUACAGUCGCGUAAGCGGGGCAUUAGAUCACAAGAUGCAAUAAGGAAAGAUCUUGGAUUAUUGGAAAAGCUACGCUAGGGAUGUUAGUCCUUCAAUAUUUUUUAAUAAUUGAUACAAAUAUUGGGUUAAUUUCAAGAAUUACUUAUCUUAAGAAUAAGUAAAUUUGAAGCGAAAUUUAUUUUUUAAUUAAAAUAAAACUGUUCAACGACUAAAGGUGAGUAUAUAACAAUAAUCCUUUAUUAAUACCCAACAUUUCUUUUUAUUAAGCAAGUUAGUUUUAAAAUUAAAUUAAAAAUUGAAAAAAAAUAUAAAAUUAAAAAAUUAUUUAAAUAAAAGUAAUAUAUUUAAUAAAUAUAUUAAUAAUAAAUAUAAAUUAGUUCCAUUUAACACUAUGAUUAAUAAUGUAGGUAAAAAUAAAUAUUUACCUUCCGACUCUAAAGAAUGAACUAAUAAUAUAUAUUACUUUAAUUCUAAUUAUGUUAAAAAUUUACCGGUAUACGAUUUAAAUGUAAAUAAAUUAUUACAAGGUUAUUUUGAUUUAUAUUUUAACCCUGAUAAUAUUAAAUCCCAAAUUUUA